NNNNNNNNNNNNNCAUAAGACGGGGACCUCCGUGCCGAAGACGCCGGCUCCCCCAGUGCCGGGGGUAGAGCCGCGUCCGCCGGUGGAGCACCGGAAACAGGUGCCUCCAGCACCGUCGACUCCGGCGCCGAGGCCGUUGAGUCCGGUGCAGAUAGCGUCUCCACCGAGACCGGCGGUGAUACAGUGCCUCCCGUCGACUCCAGAGACCUUCGCGGCGGCGAGAGACUUAAUAGCUCUCACGGAGCCGGCACCGCCUCAACCACCGGCACCGACGGCACCGUUGACGCGCCCGGUCCAGUCUAGGGGGAAACCUGCCUUGAUGCGCCCUCCAUCGCAAGGGCUGGAACCACGGCACCGGUCCAGGUCCUGAAGCAGGUCCCCACGCCGCUCGCAGUCCCGGCGCCGAAUAUCACCUCGGCACCGGUCGUACUCGCGGCCAAGAUCUUCGUCGCGGCACCGCUCUACGUCUCGGCACCGCUAUGAUCGUCGGCACCGAUCAACGUCGAGACGUAGUUCUCGGCACCGCCACGAUCGACGCUCGACGUCGAGAGGCCGCUCCCGGCACCGGGCCUACUCUAGGUCAUCGUCGAGGUCCAGAUCCGACUCCCGGCACCGGCGAGGUCAUCGGCACCGGUCGCGGUCCCGGCACCGAUCGCCGGCACCGCGUAGAGAUAGAUCAUCUCCGGACCGGCACCGUGCGGCACCGCAGCCCACGGGAUUCGUCUCGACGCUCUCGGCACCGCCAUGGCCAUCGAGAUCGGUGUCUCGCUCCUCCGAGGACCUAUCGAGAUCGGCAUACCCCCCUCAGGGGCAAGCCGAGGAACAGGACUUGGGCCAUUGGCAGGAGAUAACAGAGGACCCUGCUCAGGGCCCAUCUCACUGGUCGUUCUGGACCCCGUGGGCGUACCAUCAGGCCCAAGGGGCUCCAAUAGCUUCGACCUCUCGCUCGGGCCACUCCGUUAGAAGGGCCCUGGAGUCCACCAUCUCUCGGCCUCCGCCAGGGGGCAUGGAGGCUUCCGUGUCCGCACCACCUGACAUCCUGGACUCAAGCGCAGGUGAUGCUCCGGCCCAGGAGCAGGGAGACCAGGACCCUCCCUUGGAUCCUGUACCACC
rnacentral:lncRNA from 1 species